UGAAUACGAGAUGCUACGGCGUCGAAGCAGUCUAUGUCAUACUUCCAAGAAAAGCUCGCACUGUCAUAAACAAAUAAUGCCUGUACCAUAACCGACACAGGUGGGUAGGUAGAGUAUACUAAGGGGCGCGAGAUAACUCUCUCUAAGGAACUCGGCAAAAUGUCUCCGUAACUUCGGGAGAAGGAGUGCCUUAUUUAUAAGGUUGCAAUAACAAGAUCCAAGCAACUGUUUAUCAAAAACACAGGUCUCCGCUAAGUCGUAAGACGAUGUAUGGGGGCUGACGCCUGCCCAGUGCCAGAAGGUUAAAGAAGUUGGUUAGCAUUCGCGAAGCUGAUAACUGAAGCCCUGGUGAACGGCGGCCGUAACUAUAACGGUCCUAAGGUAGCGAAAUUCCUUGUCGGGUAAGUUCCGACCCGCACGAAAGGCGUAAUGAUUUGGAUACUGUCUCGGAGAGGGGCUCGGUGAAAUAGACUUGUCUGUGAAGAUGCGGACUACCUGCACCAGGACAGAAAGACCCUAUGAAGCUUUACUGUAACUUGAGAUUGAAAUUGGACUUUACUUGCGCAGUAUAGGUGGGAGGCGUUGAUAAUAUUCUUGCGGGAUUAUUUGAGCCACCAGUGAGAUACCACUCUUGUAAUGUUAGAUUUCUAACUUUGUAUCAUUAUCUGGUCAAAGGACAGUUUCAGGCGGGCAGUUUGACUGGGGCGGUCGCCUCCUAAACGGUAACGGAGGCGCACAAAGGUUUCCUCUGAACGGGUAGAAAUCGUAUCUAGAGUGUAAAGGCAUAAGGAAGCUUGACUGUGAGACCUACAAGUCGAGCAGGGACGAAAGUCGGUCUUAGUGAUCUGACGGUGCUGAGUGGAAAGGCCGUCACUCAACGGAUAAAAGUUACUCUAGGAUAACAGGCUGAUCUCCCCCAAGAGUUCACAUCGACGGGGAGGUUUGGCACCUCGAUGUCGGCUCAUCGCAUCCUGGGGCGGUAGUACGUCCCAAGGGUUGGGCUGUUCGCCCAUGAAAGCGGUACGCGAGCUGGGUUCAGAACGUCGUGAGACAGUUCGGUCCAUAUCCGGUGUAGGCGUUAGAAUAUUGAGAGGAGCCUUCUUUAGUACGAGAGGACCGAGAAGGACAUACCUCUGGUGUACCAGUUAUCGUGCCAACGGUAAACGCUGGGUAGCUAUGUAUGGAGUGGAUAACCGCUGAAAGCAUCUAAGUGGGAAGCCCACCUCAAGAUAAG
rnacentral:rRNA from 1 species